rnacentral:lncRNA from 1 species
AUGGCUGACCUCAAAAGGGGCCAGAAUUAUUCCCUGGGCUCCCCUGGGAUCCUAUCCAACCUUCUGCUUCAGCCUGCUCGUGGGAGAUCAGCAAGGGAUCAGCCUGGCUCCCAAAAGGGGCAACCUCCCCUCUUCAUCACGCCUUCCUCCAGCAUUAUCCCAACUGGCUUUGAGCCCUCAAGCACCCCAUAUGCUCCAGCCCAGGGUAUGCAGCUUGUUUCAUCCUGGAAAAAACAAGACCUGUGGGCUGUGGGACAGCUCCCACACUACCUCAGACCCUUGGCCCUAAAGCUCUCGCACACGAUGAUGUGCAAUAUCCAGAAGGGCUCUCCGUGUUGCUUUGGGAGAUGGUGGAGAGACUGGUGGGAAGUUGGCAUCUUUGGGGCUGAGCGAGGCUGGUUCCCGCAGGGACUCUCUUGUGCUGGCCUUUGCUCGCUUCCCCUGCUCUGUUCUCAACAGUGUCCUCGAAAGCCAGUCUGCGGCCACCCUGGAGCAGCUGGCAAUCGCUUGGUCUGCAGCUGUGGCUCGAGGCACACGUACGCUGCUUGCUCUGCGGAAGAUCCGGGACGUGAUGCUUGGAGACAGUCCCACUGCCACAGCAACCUGUUUUCUUGGCAUCUGUCUUUGCAACCUGUUGAGCAUGAGGCCAGAGAUGUUCAACAGGCCAAAAGCGUCCCCUGCCAUGGUCCGUGCCCCGGAGCUUGGGGCUGGAGGCUGCCUCAGCUCCAAGCUCCCAGGUGUGGACGGGUUCCCUGGCCUGGAUGGGUUGGAGCUGGGCAGGCUGGGGCAGAGCUGGGCGGGCUGCAGGCGCUGCAGCAGAAGCCCCAGGCUCCUCCUGAGCACACGCUAAAUGCUCUGAGCCAGCUCUUCCCCUGGUCCUUCUCUCCUCUAGCUCCUCUUCUUCCGCAAGGGCCCGAGCGGGGCUCCAGGCAAAUCCCUGGCAGGGGCCGCACCAGGCUCCUUCCUCGCCUCGUCCCGGCCCGCGCUCGCCGCUGCCACGAAUGCUGCUGCCUGCGUGGAGGCUGCGUUCGGGGAGGGCAGGAAAAGCCACCGGGGCUGGUCCCCGCGUCCUCCCUCCCUCCCUUCGCCGCCGUUAGGUGUCACUCUGCGGCCGCCUCACGCGCGGCGCCGCCGGCCCGGGCUCCGCCACCGCGUCUGCUUGCAGCUCCGGAGCUUUCCGAGCGCGGCUCGGGCUCUCUGCAGCGAUGCUUUGCUCACGUGGACUCCUAA